UCAGCUUGAACCGCAAGGUGAAGGUGUAUUUGCUGUUGGCGGCGCUAGGAGGAGUGGACCUUGCUGUGGAUACUUGGCCAGAGGACUGCUCCGGCAGAAACUUGGCCUUGGGCAAAUGGUUUUGGUCUACUCUCGGAGUGUCAGCCUUUAGGAUGGCGGCUGUCUUGUGACUCUCGGUUGGCGGCUGUGAGUUGGUGGAGCUUGCUCCCCUUCUUUGGUUGCUGGCCCAGAUAGCUUGAUUGUCGUGGCACUGUCCUAGUGAAAAAGUCGGUCACCUACCUGACCCGUCUUGAAACACGGACCAAGGAGUCUAACAUGUGCGCAAGUUAAAAGGUGGUAAACCUAUAGAGCGCAAUGAAAGUAAAGGUCAGUUUAACUGGCUUAUAUGGGAUCCCUUGCUUCGGCAACAGGGGCACCAUAGUCCCGUCGCGUCUGCAUGUCAGUGCGGCGGAGACAGAGCGUACACGUUGGGACCCGAAAGAUGGUGAACUAUGCCUGAGCAGGAUGAAGCCAGGGGAAACUCUGGUGGAGGUCCGAAGCGGUUCUGACGUGCAAAUCGAUCGUCAGACUUGGGUAUAGGGGCGAAAGACUAAUCGAAC
rnacentral:rRNA from 1 species